rnacentral:rRNA from 1 species
GGCUCAGAGCGAACGCUGGCGGCGCGCCUAAUACAUGCAAGUCGAGCGAGAAGGUGUAGCAAUACACUUGUAAAGCGGCGAACGGGUGAGGAAUGCAUGGGUAACCUACCCUCGAGUGGGGAAUAACUAGCCGAAAGGUUAGCUAAUACCGCAUACGUUUCCGGGACUUCGGUUCCGGAAAGAAAGCAAUACCGUGGGUAUUGCGCUCAUGGAUGGGCUCAUGUCCUAUCAGCUUGUUGGUGAGGUAACGGCUCACCAAGGCUUCGACGGGUAGCUGGUCUGAGAGGACGAUCAGCCACACUGGCACUGCGACACGGGCCAGACUCCUACGGGAGGCAGCAGUAAGGAAUAUUGCGCAAUGGACGAAAGUCUGACGCAGCGACGCCGCGUGGGGGAUGAAGGUCUUCGGAUUGUAAACCCCUUUCGGGAGGGAAGAUGGAGUGGGUAACCACUUGGACGGUACCUCCAGAAGCAGCCACGGCUAACUUCGUGCCAGCAGCCGCGGUAAUACGAAGGUGGCAAGCGUUGUUCGGAUUCACUGGGCGUACAGGGAGCGUAGGCGGUUGGGUAAGCCCUCCGUGAAAUCUCCGGGCCUAACCCGGAAAGUGCAGAGGGGACUGCUCAGCUAGAGGAUGGGAGAGGAGCGCGGAAUUCCCGGUGUAGCGGUGAAAUGCGUAGAGA